rnacentral:rRNA from 1 species
UACAGAGGGUGCGAGCGUUAAUCGGAAUUACUGGGCGUAAAGCGUGCGUAGACGGUUAUUUAAGUCGGAUGUGAAAGCCCCGGGCUCAACCUGGGAAUUGCAUUCGAGACUGAAUAGCUAGGGUGCGGUAGAGGGAAGCGGAAUUUCCGGUGUAGCGGUGAAAUGCGUAGAGAUGUGGAGGAACACCGAUGGCGAAGGCAGCCCCCUGGGUCAAGACUGACGCUCAUGCACGAAAGCGUGGGGAGCAAACAGG